rnacentral:rRNA from 1 species
GUGGGGAAUAUUGGACAAUGGGCGCAAGCCUGAUCCAGCCAUGCCGCGUGAGUGAUGAAGGCCUUAGGGUUGUAAAGCUCUUUCAGUGGGGAAGAUAAUGACGGUACCCACAGAAGAAGCCCCGGCUAACUUCGUGCCAGCAGCCGCGGUAAUACGAAGGGGGCUAGCGUUGUUCGGAUUUACUGGGCGUAAAGCGCACGUAGGCGGAUAUUUAAGUCAGGGGUGAAAUCCUGGAGCUCAACUCCAGAACUGCCUUUGAUACUGGGUAUCUAGAGUCCGGAAGAGGUGAGUGGAACUCCUAGUGUAGAGGUGGAAUUCGUAGAUAUUAGGAAGAACACCAGUGGCGAAGGCGGCUCACUGGUCCGGUACUGACGCUGAGGUGCGAAAGCGUGGGGAGCAAACAGG